UUUUUGAAGAACCUUGAAGAAACCUGAAGAAUUUACCACAAGAAAUGUCGUCCUCACUCAGGAAGGCCUAGCAUUAUUUGAGAUAACCUGAAGUAUCCGAAACAUCCACAUGGCACUGGCAGAUAUUACACAGGACCUAAAGGAGACUGUACACACCUGCAGAAACAACGGCAGAUCAGAUGGCACUGCCUAGGUUAUCUCAGAUCAGGGAAGAUAUCUAGAUCAGAAUUUGCGCAAACAUUAGUGGAGAGAAAAUAGAGAAGGUGCUGAUUCCUGGAAAUCAAGCCUCAAAAAAAAAAGACCCAAGUUCACGACACCCAUUCCCUUAAUUAAAAAUCAAGUCCAUCAAUCCUAGCGUCUCAUUCACAUUAAAGUGACAGAUCGUGUAAGGGAGGAUUCUUUGUAUUUACACCCCAUAAUUGAAAUCUCAGUCCAGUACUAAAUGAACGCUAUUGUGCAAACCAGAUGCUUAAAAUAGAUUCCGGCAUCUUCUCAUAGUGUCUGUUUUCUGUUCUUGUAAACAAUUGUCUAAGAAAUAAAAUCAAA
rnacentral:lncRNA from 1 species